rnacentral:ribozyme from 1 species
UCGUUCCGUGGUUCUGUAAAAGGGUUGGAUCCGACGCCUCUAGAAGGCUACUAUAGGCUCUCCUUCUCAACUCCUACUCAAUACGUCCACAACGUGCUGAACGGUAACUUGUCGCUCAGAUCCAAGCUUCCCUAGUAGCAAUUUUUGUGUUAAGAAACCAUUAAAAGUA